CGGGGUGCAGCAGGCGCGAAAACUCUACAAUGCAGGCAACUGCGAUAGGGGAACAUCGAGUGAUCCUCAUAUUGGGGGUCUGUCCACCCGUCUAAAAAACGGGUGUUAGCAAGGGCCGGGCAAGACCGGUGCCAGCCGCCGCGGUAAUACCGGCGGCUCGAGUGGUGGCCGAUAUUAUUGAGUCUAAAGGGUCCGUAGCCGGCUUUGCAAGUCUCUCGGGAAAUCCAGCGGCUUAACCGUUGGUCGUCCGGGGGGUACUACAUUGCUUGGGACUGGGAGAGGUAGGAGGUACUCAGGGGGUAGGAGUGAAAUCCUGUAAUCCUUUGGGGACCACCGGUGGCGAAGGCGUCCUACCAGAACAGGUCCGACGGUGAGGGACGAAAGCUAGGGGCACGAACCGGAUUAGAUACCCGGGUAGUCCUAGCCGUAAACGAUGCUCGCUAGGUGUCACAACAGUCGUGAAUUGUUGUGGUGCCGUAGGGAAGCCGUGAAGCGAGCCACUUGGGAAGUACGACCGCAAGGUUGAAACUUAAAGGAAUGGCCGGGGA
rnacentral:rRNA from 1 species